CGACAUCGUAAAAUCAUGGAAAUGGAUUUGAGGCACCGUGGCACAUAACCGAAGACCUAUAAUUUCCGGGGCUGUGAAGCGGAGCUCGGUUGUGGCGCAGUUGCAAUAUUGGGCCGUGCCGGAUACGGGUGCCGCGGGAGGCCGAUUACAAGUGUCGACAAGCAAUCGGAACGCGAGUUAAGGUUUGCACGUGAGUGGCGCGGCGGCGCGAGGCAAGGGCGUAGCUCCGUAGAUAGCGCCCUACCCAGAGACCAGAGAUAGUGGUACCCCGAGUCGGCAUAGCCUAGGGGUAGAGGGAAAUGAAAGAAUAAGAUGUAUCAAGUGUGUAAUAAAUUGUAAUAACUCAGAUUGUAUGUUGGAGAGAAAGUGUAAUUGUGAUGUAAGCAAAUGUAUCAAUGUGAAUGCUUGUAAUAACAUAGGAUGUGUUUAUGUUGUUGAUACC